rnacentral:rRNA from 1 species
ACGUACACUCCUGCGGGAGGCAGCAGUGGGGAAUAUUGCACAAUGGGCGCAAGCCUGAUGCAGCCAUGCCGCGUGUAUGAAGAAGGCCUUCGGGUUGUAAAGUACUUUCAGCGGGGAGGAAGGCGAUAAGGUUAAUAACCUUGUUGAUUGACGUUACCCGCAGAAGAAGCACCGGCUAACUCCGUGCCAGCAGCCGCGGUAAUACGGAGGGUGCAAGCGUUAAUCGGAAUUACUGGGCGUAAAGCGCACGCAGGCGGUCUGUCAAGUCGGAUGUGAAAUCCCCGGGCUCAACCUGGGAACUGCAUUCGAAACUGGCAGGCUAGAGUCUUGUAGAGUGGGGUAGAAUUCCAGGUGUAGCGGUGAAAUGCGUAGAGAUCUGGAGGAAUACCGGUGGCGAAGGCGGCCCCCUGGACAAAGACUGACGCUCAGGUGCGAAAGCGUGGGGAGCAAACAGGAUUAGAAACCCGAGUAGUCCCAUG